rnacentral:tRNA from 1 species
GCCCUCGUAGUUCAAUGGAUAGAACGGAGGUUUCCUAAACCUUAAAUCCAUGUUCGACUCAUGGCGAGGGCA